UACGUAGGUGACAAGCGUUAUCCGGAUUUAUUGGGCGUAAAGCGCACGCAGGCGGCUGAUUAAGUCUGACGUGAAAUCUCUCGGCUUAACCGGGAGCGGUCGUUGGUAACUAAUUGGCUUGAGGCGAUGAGAGGGGUGUGGAAUUCCCGGUGUAGUGGUGGAAUGCGUAGAUAUCGGGAGGAACAUCAGUGGCGAAGGCGGUGCUCUGGGCCGGAACUGACGCUGAGGAGCGAAAGCGUGGGGAGCAAACAGG
rnacentral:rRNA from 1 species